rnacentral:rRNA from 1 species
AACGAACGCUGGCGGCGCGUCUUAAGCAUGCAAGUCGAACGGCAAGAAGAGAGCUUGCUCUCUUCCUAGAGUGGCGGACUGGUGAGUAACACGUGGGUGACGUACCCUUUGGACGGGGAUAGCCGAUAGAAAUAUCGGGUAAUACCGGAUAAGGACACACAGGUUGGAGCUGUGUGUGGAAAGUAGCUACGGCUACGCCGAAGGAACGGCCUGCGACCCAUCAGCUAGUAGGUGAGGUAAGAGCCCACCUAGGCAAUGACGGGUAUCCGGCCUGAGAGGGUGAACGGACACAUUGGGACUGAGAUACGGCCCAGACUCC